GUAACUUGCUCCUCACCUUCCACCAUGAUUGUGAGGCCUUCCCCAGCCAUGUGGAACCGUUAUCUGAGUAGGCUGAACCAUCGGUGAAAAGGAGGCCAAGCAUCUCAAAAAUAGGACACCUGAGAGUAUGGAGCCAAUGUGACACUCAGAUUUGACACAUACAGAAGUGUGAAAAACUCUUGUGUGACUGGGAUAGCUCCUCUGCAAUGAGAACAUGCCUGGGAUAAUGUACUGAAAAGAUAUGAGAAAUACAUGAAGCAGAGUCCAGUCAUCCCAGCCAUGAACCAGCUGUGAAUGUAACUGUAUGACUUUGAGGGAAGUCCAGACCAAGAACAAAGAACCACUGGUCUUAAAGACAUACCUUCAGAUUCCUGAGCUAAACAAAAGUUUAUUGUUGAAA
rnacentral:lncRNA from 1 species